AGAAAAUAUAGUAAUACACAACAUAUGGAGCAGAACUGGAAGCUGGCUUAGACUAGAGGAAAUCUACUAGUAUUCAUUCUUCUCUGUGGCCAGAAGAGCAAUGGAACAUGUCAAUGAGUCAUUUAUGUGUCAGCGCACAAAUCGUCUUGGAAGAGUCUGGUCCUGGGAUUGUGAGACCAUCGGAGACUCUGGACAUGACCUGUAAAGUGACCGGAGCCUCCCUGACUGAUAGCGAUAACAUGUAUUGUGUACACUGGAUCAGACAGACUAAUGGGAAAGGCCUGGAGUGGCUUUGUGGUAUAUAUUAUAAUAAUAACUUUAACUAUGCAGAGUCCCUUCAAGGGAGACUAACUUUAUCAAGAGACACAAAUAAAGGAGAAGUUUAUUUCAAACUCACUGGAGUGAAACCUGAUGAAUCUGGGAAAUAUUAUUGUGCUAGUCAGAAACACAGUGUAACAGAUGGACGGGGGACAUUUACAUAAACUUUUUUAUCAAAAGUAUAAAUCUAAAGACAUGCACUGGCGGAAUCGGGACAUGAAGUGCUGAACAUAAAGUGUGUGGGAUUUACAAAGUGGAGAAAACAAUAAGAGUUAGAAACA